AACGAACGCUGGCGGCAGGCUUAACACAUGCAAGUCGAGCGAGACCUUCGGGUCUAGCGGCGGACGGGUGAGUAACGCGUGGGAACGUGCCCUUCUCUACGGAAUAGCCCCGGGAAACUGGGAGUAAUACCGUAUACGCCCUUUGGGGGAAAGAUUUAUCGGAGAAGGAUCGGCCCGCGUUGGAUUAGGUAGUUGGUGGGGUAAUGGCCCACCAAGCCGACGAUCCAUAGCUGGUUUGAGAGGAUGAUCAGCCACACUGGGACUGAGACACGGCCCAGACUCCUACGGGAGGCAGCAGUGGGGAAUCUUAGACAAUGGGGGCAACCCUGAUCUAGCCAUGCCGCGUGAGUGAUGAAGGCCUUAGGGUUGUAAAGCUCUUUCAGCUGGGAAGAUAAUGACGGUACCAGCAGAAGAAGCCCCGGCUAACUCCG
rnacentral:rRNA from 1 species